rnacentral:pre_miRNA from 1 species
AAAAAAACAAACUCUGAAUUUCCGUGUCCAAUUUUGACUGUCCGUCUUAUAUAAAAUUUUUUUAUAAUUAGUAUUUUUAUUGUUGUUAGAUGAUAAAUCAUGAUUAAUAUUUUAUGCGUGACUUGUCUUUUUAAUUUUUUUUAUAAUUUUUUCAAAUAAGACGGACGGUCAAACGUUGGACACGAAAAUCAGGGUUUGUCUUUUU